rnacentral:rRNA from 1 species
AGGACGAACGCUGGCGGCGUGCCUAAUACAUGCAAGUCGAACGGUCUUUCUAUGGAAGCUUGCUUCCACUGAGAAGAUAGUGGCGAACGGGUGAGUAACACGUGGGUAACCUGCCCAUAAGAGGGGGGAUAACAUCCGGAAACGGGUGCUAAUACCGCAUAGUUUUCUUGAUCGCAUGAUUGAGAAAGGAAAGACGGCCUUUGUGCUGUCGCUUAUGGAUGGACCCGCGGCGUAUUAGUUAGUUGGUGAGGUAACGGCUCACCAAGGCGAUGAUACGUAGCCGACCUGAGAGGGUGAUCGGCCACAUUGGGACUGAGACGCGGCCCAAACUCCUACGGGAGGCAGCAGUAGGGAAUCUUCCGCAAUGGACGAAAGUCUGACGGAGCAACGCCGCGUGAGUGAAAGAAGGUUUUCGGAUCGUAAAACUCUGUUGUCAGAGAAGAACAAGUUGGAGAGUAACUGCUCCAGCCUUGACGGUAUCUGACCAGAAAGCCACGGCUAACUACGUGCCAGCCGCCGC